GGAACCGUCAGUUGUUCAACAGGCACGUUACAGAAGAGGAAUCUGGGCCCAGAGAGGCAGACUGGAUUACUGCUGCUGGGAAUGAAAGAGAAUCAAGAAUUAAAGACAAUCCAGGCCAGUCUGUCGAGGCAGAGGGUAGAACACCAGUGUCUUUCAUCGGAGGAACUGAAGCAACGUUUCCCAAAUAUUCGGUUGCCCAGGGGAGAAGUGGGGCUGUUGGACAAUUCCGGAGGAGUUCUCUAUGCAUACAAGGCCCUCAGAGCCCUGCAGGAUGCAGUUCGACAGCUAGGAGGCAUAGUGCGUGAUGGAGAGAAGGUGGUGGAGAUAAACCCAGGGCUACUGGUCACGGUGAAAACCACCUCCAGGAGCUACCAAGCUAAGAGCUUGGUCAUCACAGCAGGUCCUUGGACCAACCAGCUCCUCCGUCCCCUGGGCAUUGAGCUGCCUCUCCAGGUAAGAGGAGCUGGAAGCCUGAGAGUUGGUGCUCAAGAGAAGCCUUGGAACCAGAUGGAGUCAAA
rnacentral:sRNA from 1 species